GGCAGUUGUAGCUCAGUGGUUAAGGUAUUGGUCUACUGGUCAGAAGGUCGUAAGUUCAAAACCCAGCACUGCCA